rnacentral:lncRNA from 1 species
CGCUGUGCGACAUAAUUUUAAACGUGUGAUUAGUUUUGUGCGCGGUGUAGAAAAAGGUGUGGCCCGUGCUUUGUGUAUUACUCGUGGUCCACUUCAAAGCAAAGCGUUCGUACGCACUGGAAGAUGCAUCCACGGACGCUGAGACGAGCAGUUGCAACGUGCCCUGUGUCGGCGGUCGGUAGUACUGCCAUAAUGGAAAUUUUCAGGCAAUGUUGCCGCCUGAAAGCCGAGUUUGGUUUCAAGCCAACCUGGACAACUGCUGUAUGAGGUGCUGUUUCGCAGGAGGAUCAGUGGGAAGGCGUCAGGUCAUGCAGAUGAUAGCAUCAAUUUCACAAUGCCCAGCCUUGGUGCCCUCCAUUAAGAGCAAGCCACUUGCGUUCGCCUUCAGGCAGAUGGUUGAUGUCUUCUAGGAAGCAGUUGGGAAGACUACAUUGAUGCAAGAUUCCAGCAAUGCCAUGCGCUGCAUUUAUUGGUCAAGAUGCUCAGAGAAUGGAGUCCCUGCACCUCGUGGUGAAACGUGAACAUUUUCUUUCUUUUGGAAAGCUAAACGUCAUUUGCUGUAUCAAUUGCAUUCUUGCAGCUCAGAUGUGUACUAUAUUUUUUCUAAUUUUGAAUCAAUUAAUAUUCACUUUUCUGUAUAAAAAUGACGUACAGUGUGAAGGACAAGGACUGCGAGAGAUGACAUACACUGCGCUGACUUCCAACAAUAUUUUAUUGCGUUGCCACAUCGUGUGUUUAUACACAAGAAGGGUCAUGCGCAGAAAAUGAAAGGCAGUCGCAAGGGGUGUUCUAACAGCAAGUCAUUGUACUAAGAACAUGGUCACUAAAAAAAAUCACAAUUUCUAUCUGUGGAGAUACAAGACUUCACUAGGGGUCAGCGUGAUAGAGGGGGCACUAACGCACACACUACCCAUUUUUCUGGUGAAAUAAGCAUCAAUAAUGUACCGGGUGAGCUGUGUUUCGCUAGAACUUGCGUAUCUUCAAAGAGGGGCAUGCAGCGGCAGUCCCGGCAAUGAAUGCCCAAGUGGCCUUGAACAGUGUUAUGGACGUUAUAGUGCACUUUUAAACGAUCAUUUAGGCACCUGCCUGUCCGUCCAACAUAUUUACUGCCUCAAAACGGGAAUAUGGUAAACCACAUUCGUUACACAUAUCGCAAAACGUUUUCUGUGCCCGACAGAGCAAGAACUCUGACACGAUUUAGGCGCGUUUACACGCUUAUAGAGCUUUGCCAGCUUUUCCGGGGCUGAGAAAAGGACUGGGAUUCCUGGAGGUUGCCAAAUCUUUUUUUAGC